rnacentral:rRNA from 1 species
CCUACGGUGGGCUGCAGUGGGGAAUAUUGGACAAUGGGCGAAAGCCUGAUCCAGCCAUGCCGCGUGUGUGAAGAAGGCCUUCGGGUUGUAAAGCACUUUCAGUGGGGAAGAAAGCCUUGGGGCUAAUACCCUCGAGGAAGGACAUCACCCACAGAAGAAGCACCGGCUAACUCCGUGCCAGCAGCCGCGGUAAUACGGAGGGUGCGAGCGUUAAUCGGAAUUACUGGGCGUAAAGCGCGCGUAGGCGGUCUGAUAAGCCGGUUGUGAAAGCCCCGGGCUCAACCUGGGAACGGCAUCCGGAACUGUCAGGCUAGAGUGCAGGAGAGGAAGGUAGAAUUCCCGGUGUAGCGGUGAAAUGCGUAGAGAUCGGGAGGAAUACCAGUGGCGAAGGCGGCCUUCUGGACUGACACUGACGCUGAGGUGCGAAAGCGUGGGUAGCAAACAGGAUUAGAUACCCUAGUAGUC